rnacentral:rRNA from 1 species
GGGCUACUCGAUGUGGUAACAGAGGGAACCGCUGCUAAUACCCGAUGUGCCGAAAGGUGAAAGAUUUAUCGUCUGAAGAUGAGCUCGCGUCCGAUUAGCUAGUUGGUAGGGUAAAAGCCUACCAAGGCGACGAUCGGUAGCUGGUCUGAGAGGAUGACCAGCCACACUGGGACUGAGACACGGCCCAGACUCCUACGGGAGGCAGCAGUGGGGAAUUUUCCGCAAUGGGCGAAAGCCUGACGGAGCAAGACCGCGUGAGGGAGGAAGGCUCUUGGGUUGUAAACCUCUUUUCUCUGGGAAGAAGCUCUGACGGUACCAGAGGAAUCAGCAUCGGCUAACUCCGUGCCAGCAGCCGCGGUAAUACGGAGGAUGCAAGCGUUAUCCGGAAUUAUUGGGCGUAAAGCGUCCGUAGGUGGCAAUUCAAGUCUGCCGUUAAAACCAGUGGCUUAACUACUGAGGGGCGGUGGAAACUGAAUAGCUAGAGUGUGGUAGGGGUAGAGGGAAUUCCCAGUGUAGCGGUGAAAUGCGUAGAGAUUGGGAAGAACACCGGUGGCGAAAGCGCUCUGCUGGACCACAACUGACACUCACAGGACGAAAGCUAGGGGAGCGAAUGGGAUUAGAUAUCCA